rnacentral:rRNA from 1 species
UACGGGGGGAGCAAGCGUUGUUCGGAUUUACUGGGCGUAAAGGGCGCGUAGGCGGCCACCGCAAGUCAAUUGUGAAAUCUCCGGGCUUAACUCGGAAGGGUCAACUGAUACUGCGGGGCUAGAGUGCGGAAGGGGCAACUGGAAUUCUCGGUGUAGCGGUGAAAUGCGUAGAUAUCGAGAGGAACACCUGCGGCGAAGGCGGGUUGCUGGGCCGACACUGACGCUGAGGCGCGAAAGCCAGGGGAGCGAACGGG